UUUUAUGACCAAGGGGGCAAGGGAGGUAACUCCAAAAGUGGGAACUGCGGUUUGCCAUGUGCUUCGCGGUGGUGAAGUUGACAACAAGAUGUGUAGACAGUUUGAUGGGUUUACAAAUUUUCUUGAACCGACAACCGACAAUAUGGAGGAAUGCAAGAAGCAAUGAACACUGCGGUGUAUAUAAUCAUGAUAAAA